rnacentral:rRNA from 1 species
GACGAACGCUGGCGGCGUGCUUAACACAUGCAAGUCGAACGGAAAGGCCCUGCUUUUGUGGGGUGCUCGAGUGGCGAACGGGUGAGUAACACGUGAGUAACCUGCCCUUGACUUUGGGAUAACUUCAGGAAACUGGGGCUAAUACCGGAUAGGAGCUCCUGCUGCAUGGUGGGGGUUGGAAAGUUUCGGCGGUUGGGGAUGGACUCGCGGCUUAUCAGCUUGUUGGUGGGGUAGUGGCUUACCAAGGCUUUGACGGGUAGCCGGCCUGAGAGGGUGACCGGCCACAUUGGUACUGAGAUACGCCCCAGACUCCUACGGGAGGCAGCAGUGGGGAAUAUUGCACAAUGGGCGGAAGCCUGAUGCAGCAACGCCGCGUUCGGGAUGACGUCCUUCGGGUUGUAAACCGCUUUCGCCUGUGACGAAGCGUUAGUGACGGUAAUGGGUAAAGAAGCACCGGCUAACUACGUG